rnacentral:lncRNA from 1 species
CAUAUGGAACAUUUCGAAACAUAUCAAUAGUGGAUAAAACAUUUCAGAGCAUAUCAAUAACAAAUACCGUACAGAAGCUCAAACGUCGUCUUUGACGUUGCAAACAUAUCAAUCUUAUCCAAAGCAUGUACAGAAACACAUAACCAAAGCUCUGGAUAUCAUAUCAAACAUACAGAAGGUGCAGUGGGAUCUCAAACAGAAUUGUGAUUCAUCCAUUUCUGAAUGACCACCAGACAGAAGUCUCCCACGUUUGGGAGCUCCAUCCACCCACGUCUAGGUGAAGUCAGAGGGGGCCGGCAGAGCAUCGUAGGCUCUAAGCACAUACCCUUUACCAUUUCUGGCAAAGGUCCAGACAAUCCCACAACCACCAGAGUACAAGAAGGUAGUUUUAACAAUAAGUAGCAUAUAUCGGAAGCACACGCGGAACAACAAAACGUACAUGUGCCUUUUCGAGACAAUACGAAACAAAGAACAAAUCUCUCACAAAUGUAUUCAGAUUUGGAAUGAAAUGGAAUAGGCACAUAUCGAAAGCAAAUGCGGAACAAUGGGAUACACAUGUGCCUAUGUGAGUCAAUACGAUAUAGCAUAAACGUUACACAAUAGUUUUCAAGAAUGCAAAUAAUUUUAAGAACAAGAGCAUACAAGAAUUCAAAGCAGUAAUAUAAAGCUCAAUUGAAUAAGAAGGCUAAAGGAUAUCAAUUUCCAAAGGAAUGAAACCAGAAUAUGAGAAAUCGACCAAAGCUCGAUCGUCGUCCUUGACGUUGCAAUCAUAUCAUUCUUAUCCAGAGCAUGUACAAAAACACAUAACCAAAGCUCUGGAUAUCAUAUCAAACAUAUAGAUGGUGUAGUGGGACCUCAAACAAAACGUGAUACAUCCAUUUCUGAAUGACCACCAGACAUAAUCUAAAGCAUCGCAGGCUCUAAGCACAUACCCUUUACCAUUUCUGGCAAAGGUCCAGAAUAACACCCUUUACCAUUUCUGGCAAAGGUCCAGACAGUCCCACAAACACCAGAGUACAAAAGGGCAGUAUGAACAAUAAAUA